GCCAGCAUGGUGUAGUGGUUUGUGCUGGACUGUGACUCUGGAGAUCAGGGUUUGAAUCCCUGCUCGGCCA
rnacentral:tRNA from 1 species